CUAGCUGACUUAAGUAACAAACAUUUAUUUCAUGGUAAGCUGAAAGCAAACCCCAGCUUAGGAAACAGGGUCAUUCUUCAUGUGGGUGACUCUGUGCCGAAAGUAUGGGAACAACC
rfam:Myotis brandtii contig158763, whole genome shotgun sequence.